UGCCCUUUCUUAUGUAUUGGCAAUGACCAGUCAAAUUCGGCAACUGGAUCAGUGGGUCCACCUAUCAUAGAGUGAAUGCUUUUUUAUAGUUGCCUCACUACCACGUAUGGCCCACAUGUCAUGAAAAAUAAACCUUCCUCCCAAUCCCUUCCCUACCCGAUCCAGAUCGGGAUCCCACCUCGUGUCAGCUGACGUCGUUGCCGGCAGCGUGCGUAUAGGGACAUGGCGAAGUGCUCCAGAGAGCGACGCCGGGGACGUGGAGCAGCUGCUCCGGUUGGGCCACCGAGACCUCGCGCUACUCUGCCAUGAGCAGGUCAUCCGGGAGCGGCGGCGGGCUCGUCUAUGCGGCCAACCGGUGUGGCGACUUGCCGGAGCUGCCGGACGCCCGCGGCCUCCUCGCCGUGCGGAGCUACAGGACGCCCGAGCCCUCAUCGCCACAAAGUUGCAGCGCCACACCUCGGGACUAGCCUCUGGCGCCCUUCCUCGGCGUCCGUGGCAGCAGGCUUGCCUGCACCACCGCCAGGAGAGGACUCGCAUCGUGCCGGCAGAUCCGGCGCCUACCCAGGUCACCGCACCGCUGGACCAUCGCCGGCGACGAGUUCAGGCCACCAUGGCGAUGGCACCCUGAGCCCCAGGACAGAAAAAACUGCCGAUCUUCCUCGCCGCCGGUCGCCAGCGCCUCCCCGACCUCCAUCCCUGCCGUAUCCGGUCCACCCCGAGUCUCCCGUGGCCUGGUUCCGCACGUCUCUCCAUCGCGCCCGCAUGCCCCGUGCUGAUUUGGGCCUCCCCUGCAUCCACCGCCGCCCCUUGUAGUUUGACCUCGCCUGACGCCACCUCGCGCCCUCCGGCCCAGCUCGCCAACUCGCCAGCCUGCCCUGACUUUCCGAUGGCAAUUUCUCACCGUCGCUGUGGUUGUUUGCCCAGUGGCAGAGAGAGUGAGAAAGGGGAGUGGAGAGAGAUACUGAUUUUUCUAUUGCCUUUUUUUCUUUUCUAUAUGGUUUGGACCCACUUGUAAGUGUCAUGUUUUCUCUCUCUAUAUUUUUAUUGGAGUUGUAAGGAGGGGUAAAA